UUUUUCCGUUGAAAAGUUACUAUUUGAACAGCUGCUAAACAGCUGCUGCUCAAAACCGUUUGCACAACAGUGUCGCCGAUUGGUUAAUCUGAAAUUCAUAUUUGUGGUUUGGUGCAUAUAUUUUAUUAUUUAAGUGUUAUAAUUAUUGCGUACCAUGUGCUGAUAUUGCCAUAAGCGAUUGCAAUGCGUGAGUAGGGAAUGAUUCAUCGUUUAUAUGACCAUUUUAUGGCGGGUGAAUAAUGGAUUAUAAAUUAAUAAAUUAUAUCCACUGCAUGCAGUAUUAGCGAUUCCUGUGGCUCACAUCAUUUCUUAACACCUGAAAGAAACACUUUCCUCCGCAAAUAUUAAAAAAAAUGGCAGUCCAUCAAAUUAUUAUUAUUGUCGACAGCAACUGGAUGAUUCGAAUUAACAAAACAAACAUUUUGUUCACAAUCGGGUUGGUCUGGUUGAUCUUAAUUGAUGCAGUGCCACAGUCGUAGUAAAUAAUCUGAGUUUACCGUAGAUCAUAUGUGAUUAGGGCGUGUAAUGUAGUCUAACGAUUACAGGUUAGAAUACACAAAGGUAUUCAUUAUACAGCCGGAAAUCGCCGUUGGCGCUAAGGUAAAGCCUCAUCUGAGACAAGUCUGACAAUCCAACUCGUGGCAAGCGUAUAGAAGCCAUUUAUUCAAAUUACCAAUGGCGCAAUACGUAAAAUCCCUGAACUGUUGCUAUGAUGACUUCGAGGUAUUGCGCCACGUCCACUCAAAUAAUAACAACCGGUUUGGAUGGAGUGCCCUAGGAAAGUCUAUGAAGUAUAGUUUACUUUUGAUUAGCUCAAGCACUAUUAUUAUUUUUUCGCUAUAAAAGGUAAUAUGUUUUUAUAAUUAAAGAGAUGUUGCUCUACAAGUGCGCGUCCCUUGUGGUACUUACUUUGUACAAUAAAACAUGAAUGCUUCAAAAUUUAACACCAUUUUUCUGUUUUGUUACAUUGUCAGAUUUGUUUAAGCAUUAGUAAAUUUACUUGCAAUUUUUGCAGCAACUUGGACGAUUUCGUUUCGAUUUUGAAAUCAAAUUCUUGAUUGAAUCCUGUAGGACCACAUAACCAUUAAACAUAUUUUCUAAUUUCAGCUCACCCGACUCGUGGGUAGUGGGUUAAUCCAGGGCGACACAUUUUGAUUGCUUUCCGGAUGGGCUGCUGACCCCUACGAUUCAUAGAAAACUCUGAUUAUAACUUGGUGGCCAAACAACAGUUUUUGAAAUAGUAUAGGGGAUUUGCGCCAACUAUUGAGAAUUCUUCGAGCACUACAAAAUUCAAGAAUAAAUUAGAAAACACAAAAAAUAAUAUGCAAUAUUUUCUAAUAUCUCCAUUUGACACCUUUUUUUUACAAACCGCAAGGUUAGAAUUGCUCAAUAGUUUCUUUCACCUUUCUCUUAACCUUGCGGCAAAUUUCACAGUCCAACCUUGUCCAUCUGGGCAUUUUAAAAAGUCAAUGUCUUAAGAAUGAGGUUAACGAAUGAUUCAAGGGCUUGGUCCUGUAAUGUCAAACUUGCACAACACUGGAUCAAACUUGACACGACAUUCGUCUAAUCACAUAAACCUAAGUUUAUUCUUGGCUGUAAAUGAAAA
rnacentral:lncRNA from 1 species